CGCAUCUGUGCAUGCAGCAUAUCAAUAAGCGGAGGAAAAGUAAAUGCUGUAUACCUACGCUUAGGAUGUUGACACACGCGCGUGCUCGACUCUACACAUGACUCUGCGCAUAUCAAUAAGCGGAGGAAAAGCUGUUACCUACGCUUAGGAUGUUGACACACGCGCGUGCUCGAUGAUAGUCUAUACAUGACUCUGUGCAUAUCAAUAAGCGGAGGAAAAGAAACUAACAAGGAUUCCCUCAGUAACGGCGAGUGAAGCGGGAAGAGCUCAAAUUUGAAAUCUUCAAGGUUUUACCUUGACGAAUUGUAGUUUAAAGAAGUGUUUUCUGUUGAAGUUUUGGUAAAAGUUCUUUGGAAUAGGACAUCAUAGAGGGUGAGAAUCCCGUAUUUGACCAUUAUUUUCAGCUGUGUGAUACACUUUCAAAGAGUCGGAUUGUUUGGGAAUGCAGUCCAAAAUGGGUGGUAAAUUUCAUCUAAAGCUAAAUAUUGGCGAGAGACCGAUAGCGAACAAGUACCGUGAGGGAAAGAUGAAAAGAACUUCGAAAAGAGAGUUAAACAGUACGUGAAAUUGUCAAAAGGGAAGCGUUUGACACCAGUGUUGUUUUCUCGAAAAUCAAUUAAAAAGAGUUUGAUUUUGUUGUGUAUUGACCUUAACAGCUUGCAUUUCAAUUUUCUUGCUUUUUUUAAUGCACUUUUCGUUUAACAAGUCAACAUCAGUUUCUUUUGUUGUAAAAAGGUCAUUGGAAGGUGGCUUUCUUUUCGGAGAAAGUGUUUAUAGCCUUUGACUCCUGCAAUCGGAGAGACUGAGGUCCUGCAGCGUAGAUCCUUCGGGGUUAGAUACAUUUGUGCUAAGUUAUAGCUUUUUAUAGACAACUUGUUGACUAUGAUUAGUCUUGUAGCUUACUCGCUUAUGCUAUUUUACCUACGCUUAGGAUGUUGACACACGCGCGUGCUCG
rnacentral:rRNA from 1 species